GGGGCGAGGCGGGCUACCUGCAGUCGACGAUGAACACUUCGGUGGGGAUUAGUGGCGAACGGGUGAGUAACACGUGGGCAAUCUGCCCUGCACUCUGGGACAAGCCCUGGAAACGGGGUCUAAUACCGGAUACUGACCUUCACAGGCAUCUGUGAUGGUCGAAAGCUCCGGCGGUGCAGGAUGAGCCCGCGGCCUAUCAGCUUGUUGGUGAGGUAGUGGCUCACCAAGGCGACGACGGGUAGCCGGCCUGAGAGGGCGACCGGCCACACUGGGACUGAGACACGGCCCAGACUCCUACGGGAGGCAGCAGUGGGGAAUAUUGCACAAUGGGCGAAAGCCUGAUGCAGCGACGCCGCGUGAGGGAUGACGGCCUUCGGGUUGUAAACCUCUUUCAGCAGGGAAGAAGCGAAAGUGACGGUACCUGCAGAAGAAGCGCCGGCUAACUACGUGCCAGCAGCCGCGGUAAUACGUAGGGCGCGAGCGUUGUCCGGAAUUAUUGGGCGUAAAGAGCUCGUAGGCGGCUUGUCACGUCGGUUGUGAAAGCCCGGGGCUUAACCCCGGGUCUGCAGUCGAUACGGGCAGGCUAGAGUUCGGUAGGGGAGAUCGGAAUUCCUGGUGUAGCGGUGAAAUGCGCAGAUAUCAGGAGGAACACCGGUGGCGAAGGCGGAUCUCUGGGCCGAUACUGACGCUGAGGAGCGAAAGCGUGGGGAGCGAACAGGAUUAGAUACCCUGGUAGUCCACGCCGUANACGGUGGGCACUAGGUGUGGGCAACAUUCCACGUUGUCCGUGCCGCAGCUAACGCAUUAAGUGCCCCGCCUGGGGAGUACGGCCGNCAGGCUAAAACUCAAA
rnacentral:rRNA from 1 species